GCCGCGGUAGCCCAGUUGGUACAGGCUUCGGCACUACAGAUGCCAAAAGUCGCAGGUUCAAAUUCUAUCCGCGGCG